rnacentral:rRNA from 1 species
UUCCGGUUGAUCCUGCCGGAGGCGACCGCUUUUGGAGUUCGAUUAAGCCAUGCGAGUAGAAAGAAAUUAGAUUCUGUGCGAACUGCUCAGUAACACGUGGAUAACCUGCCCUAUGCUCCGGAAUAACCUCGGGAAACUGAGAAUAAUACCGGAUAGAUCACAACGCCUGGAACGGUGUGUGGUUGAAAGAUUACGGCAUAGGAUGGGUCUGCGGCGUAUCAGGUUGUAGGGGGUGUAAAGGACCUCCUAGCCAUCGACGCGUACGGGUGUUGGGAGACAUAGCCCGGAGAUGGAUUCUGAGACACGAAUCCAGACCCUACGGGGUGCAGCAGGCGCGAAAACUUCACACUGCAGGAAACUGUGAUGAGGGAACUCCAAGUGCACGCACUUAGUGUGUGCUUUUUUCAACUAUUAAUCGGUUGAAGAAUAAGGGCUGGGAAAGACCGGUGCCAGCCGCCGCGGUAAUACCGGCAGCUCAAGUGGUCGUCGCUUUUAUUGGGCCUAAAACGUCCGUAGCCUGUUUGGUAAAUCUGUGGGUAAAUCAACCAGCUUAACUGGUUGAAUUCUGCAGAGACUGCCAGACUAGGGACCGGGAGAGGUGUGGGGUACUCUAGGGGUAGGGGUAAAAUCCUGUCAUCCUUAGAGGACCACCAGUUGCGAAGGCGCCACACUGGAACGGAUCCGACGGUCAGGGACGAAGCCUAGGGGCACGAACCGGAUUAGAUACCCGGGUAGUCCUAGGUGUAAACGCUGUGAACUUGGUGUCGGGGAUCCGUCAUGGGUCCCCGGUGCCGGAGUGAAGAUGUUAAGUUCACUGCCUGGGGAGUACGGUCGCAAGGCUGAAACUUAAAGGAAUUGGCGGGGGAGCACUGCAACGGGAGGAGCGUGCGGUUUAAUUGGAUUCAACGCCGGA